ensembl:lncRNA
UCAUUCCCCAUGGGGAUGGGAAACAGGGGGAUCUUCUGGGGUCUUCCCUUAGAGCCAGUCCCUGUCGCCAGGUAGAACUCCUGCCCCUAGGGAGGGUGGCAGAAAUCAGAGAAGAAAGGGAUGAGGGCUUGGUCCAGGCUGGGGGCACCAGGAAUUGGGAAGAAGGCGGGAGCCUAUUUUGGAGGGUCUGGGUUGGGAGGAGGGGAGUGGGGAAGGCCUUCCGAACACCUUAAGUAAUCUUCAUAGUUGACUGAAAGAUUAAAAACAGGGGAAGAACUGGUUUUGGCAUAUUGAACUUCUAGGGACUCAGCCAGAAACUUGUUCUGACCAGCUGUUGGUUGGUCCUGGCCUUGGCCCUGGGUCUGGAGGGCUGGCAGUGGCUUUAGGCCUGGGAUCACUGUUCCCUAAACUUCUCUGGGACCCUCCAGUGUGAUGGUCUUGCAGGCUGCUGACAAGGGGAGUUCAGCUGGUGGGUUGAGCAGGGCGGCAUCCAGGUGGAAGGCUUUUAAACCAGGUGGUAGAUGAGUGUCGAGGGGGUCACAAAUGGGAGAAGGUGGUUCUGGAACAGUGGAGAACGGGGGCAGGGAGCUGGGGCAGGAAUACUCUGUCCCCGAGCUGUGCCCAGGAUCCAGGGUGGGAAACACACAAGGAAAAGCUGCCCUUGCGCCUUUGGCCACAGGAGGGUUCUUUACCACCAGUGCCACCUGGGAAGCAGGUUUGAUCCCUGGAUCAAGAAGAUCUCCUGGAAUAGGAAAUGGAAACACACUUCAGUACUCUUGCCU